rnacentral:rRNA from 1 species
CCUACGGGCGGCAGCAGUGGGGAAUAUUGGACAAUGGGCGAAAGCCUGAUCCAGCCAUGCCGCGUGUGUGAAGAAGGCCUUCGGGUUGUAAAGCACUUUCAGUGGGGAAGAAAGCCUUGGGGCUAAUACCCUCGAGGAAGGACAUCACCCACAGAAGAAGCACCGGCUAACUCCGUGCCAGCAGCCGCGGUAAUACGGAGGGUGCGAGCGUUAAUCGGAAUUAUUGGGCGUAAAGCGCGCGUAGGCGGUCUGAUAAGCCGGUUGUGAAAGCCCCGGGCUCAACCUGGGAACGGCAUCCGGAACUGUCAGGCUAGAGUGCAGUAGAGGAAGGUAGAAUUCCCGGUGUAGCGGUGAAAUGCGUAGAGAUCGGGAGGAAUACCAGUGGCGAAGGCGGCCUUCUGGACUGACACUGACGCUGAGGUGCGAAAGCGUGGGUAGCAAACAGGAUUAGAUACCCUGGUAGUC